AAGAAUUUAAUGGUCGAACAGACCAAUAAAUUAAACUCCUGCAUCUAAUUAUAUUCUUAAUCCAACAUCGAGGUCGCAAUCUUCAUUAUCAAUAUGAACUCUCCAAUAAAAUUACG
rnacentral:rRNA from 1 species